rnacentral:misc_RNA from 1 species
CAAAAACAACACCCAAGGGUUCGUCAGCAUUGAGGACAAUGCUACUCAAAAUAUGAGGAUGGAAGAGAAAGUUGAAGCAUGUGGUCAGCAAGUGGUUAUUGAUGCUCAAUUACAUAAAAAUGGAGAGACAUGGGAGUGCUACUCACAAGAUGACUUCCGUAGCAGUUCUAAUGUCCCUGAUUCUCUUUCUUUGGAGAGAUCUUGCACCCC